AAGCCAUGUUGAGGACACUUCUUUAACAUAUUUUUGAAACGAUUCCAUGCCUCUUCAAAUGAUUCGAAUUCACAUUGGUUGAAUAUAGAGAUGUCGUGCCGCAGUUU
rnacentral:snoRNA from 1 species